AGACACUAGCUGCGUCCGAAUUGCCAAGUAGUAGUCGAAGUAGUAGUCGAAGUAGUAUCUAGCAUGUCCGAAUUGGCCACCGGAGCGAGUAGCAUGCUACUUCAGAUACUACUUCAGAUGCUAGACACGCCCACAUUGUAGGUUGGUCUCGGUGCAUCCUACGGGCAUGCUACUGACCCAAAAUGCACCGCGGGCUUCUUCUUCGUCCUCUUAAAAGUUGUAGAAGCGCAUGUGAUGCUAGCGCCACCAGCUGCUCUGCCUAUUUAAAAGUGUCGCGAACGCCGGCUGGCCACAGCAGCGCGCACCAUGUCGGAGCAGCAGCAGCAGCAGGCGGGACCGCAGCAGUACAGAUG